AGUGAACGCUGGCGGUAGGCUUAACACAUGCAAGUCGAACGGCAGCACAGUAAGAGCUUGCUCUUACGGGUGGCGAGUGGCGGACGGGUGAGGAAUACAUCGGAAUCUACUUUUUCGUGGGGGAUAACGUAGGGAAACUUACGCUAAUACCGCAUACGACCUACGGGUGAAAGCAGGGGAUCUUCGGACCUUGCGCGAUUGAAUGAGCCGAUGUCGGAUUAGCUAGUUGGCGGGGUAAAGGCCCACCAAGGCGACGAUCCGUAGCUGGUCUGAGAGGAUGAUACGCAGCACUGGAGCUUGACCAGCGACCAGCGUCCUAAGGGAGGAACCAGACGGGAAUGUGGGACAGCGGUGGCAAGCAUGACCCAGCAAUCCGGAGUGGGAAAAAACGGCGUCGGGUUUGUAAAGCCUUUUUUUGGGAAAAAAAAAGCAGCCGGUUAAUACCCAGCUGUUGUGACGGUACCCAAAAAAGAAGCACCGGCUAACUUCGUG
rnacentral:rRNA from 1 species